GUUUCAGCCGCCGCGGUAAGACGGAGGGGGCAAGCGUUGUCCGGACUCACUGGGCGUAAAGCGUCUGACGGCGGUUCGUUGCGUCGGUGCUGAAAGCGCCCCGCUUAACGGGGCGAGGCGUGCCGAUACGAGCGAACUCGAGGCAGGGAGAGGCUGGCGGAAUUCCGGGUGUAGUGGUGAAAUGCGUAGAGAUCCGGAGGAACGCCGGUGACGAAGGUGGCCAGCUGGCCCUGACCUGACGCUCAAGGACGAUAGCGUGGGGAGCGAACCGGAUUAGAUACCCUGGUAGUCC
rnacentral:rRNA from 1 species